UACGUAGGGGGCAAGCGUUGUCCGGAUUUAUUGGGCGUAAAGAGCGUGUAGGCGGCCUGAAAGGUCAGCUGUGAAAACUCGAGGCUCAACCUCGAGACGUCGGUUGAAACCAUCUGGCUAGAGUCUGGAAGAGGAGUGUGGAAUUCCCGGUGUAGCGGUGAAAUGCGCAGAUAUCGGGGAAGAACACCCGUGGCGAAGGCGGCACUCUGGGACGGUACUGACGCUGAGACGCGAAAGCGUGGGGAGCGAACAGG
rnacentral:rRNA from 1 species